GAUGAACGCUGGCGGCGUGCCUAAUACAUGCAAGUCGAGCGAACAGACCAGGAGCUUGCUCCUCUGACGUUAGCAGCGGACGGGUGAGUCACACGUGGAUAACCUACCUCUAAGACUUGGAUAACUUCGGGAGACCGUAGCUAAUACCGGAAGAUAUAUUGAACCGCAUGGUUCAAUAGUGAAAGACGGUUUUGCUGUCGCUUAUAGAUGGAUACGCGCCGGAUUAGCUAGUUGGUAAGGUAAAGGCUUAGCAAGGCGACGAUGCGUAGCCGGCCUGAGAGGAGGAUCAGCGACACUGGGACUGGGACACGGCCCAGAAUACUACGGGAGGCAGAAGUGGGGGAUAUAGGAGAAUGAGCGAAAGACUGAUCCAGCAAUGCCGCGUGAGUGAUGAAGGGGUUAGGGUUGUAAAGCUCUUUUACCCGAGAUGAUAAUGACAGUAGCGGGAGAAUAAGCUCCGGCUAACUCCGUG
rnacentral:rRNA from 1 species